AACUGCCCCUUUAAGAAACCCACUGAUGUUUUCAAUGACAUCACUAGAAGCAUUUUGUCUUUCUUCAAUGGAGGCUGAAGCAGUGGCUAGUUGCAGAGAAUGAGAUCGAAAGGAGGUGAGAUAGCAAGGAGAUAUCGGGAACGUCGUGAUGCUGACCCAGACAGAAAAAGAAAGUACCUUGAGAAAGAAAGGGACAAAUGGAAAAAAGACAGAGACUGGAAAGAAGAAAGGUGUCAAUGAGCUCAGUGAGAGAGAAAAGAGGGCAAAAAGAAAGAAAUGGAGAGAGGCAAAAAGUCAAGCCAGAACCAGAAACAAGGCCAGUGCUUUGCUACAGUCAGAGACACCACCCAGCUCCCCUGCUGAAACUCCUGAAAAUCUACGUGAGCCAGGGCCCUCCAGGCAACGGCGUCAAGGGGAAAGCAUUCGAAGGAGUGCGAAGAGAAAACUGAAAAAACAGAUCGAAACAUUAGAGGCACAGCUUGCAAAAGAGAAAAGUAAAACUGAGAAAAAUAAGAAGAGGUACCAUCGGGCCAAGAAAGAAAGCGUGUCCAAAUCACCACGUACAAAAGUCAAUGCUUUGUUGGCAGGUCAAAAAGUGUAUUCACCAGUCAAAAGAGCAUACCAAAAGAGAGAGAAGCAGCUGAUAGCAAAAGUGGUCAGUGGAAACAUUCUGAAGAAGUAUAAGCUCCAAAAGCAUGCCCAGACUGCUUUUGGCUACUCUACGAAGAGAGCAAAGUAUCCUGUAGAUCUGACCUACCGCGGGAGGAGGUGCUUCAGUCGAAAUGAGAUUAGGAAGAACGUUAAAUCAUUUCUUCUUCGAGAUGAAGUUCGGCCGCAAACAAACACACGAUAUAAACAAGUCACACGGCUGAAGAAAAAAAUGCAAAAGAGGUUGCUUACUGAUACAAUGAAGAACUUGCAAAGGCGCUUUCUCUCAGAGCGCAUUGGCCACAUGUCAUACACCUCCUAUUGCCGUCUCAGACCCUUUUGGGUGGUAACCCCCUCUUCCUCUGACCGUGACAGAUGUCUCUGCAAAAAACAUGAGCAUUUGCAAUUCAUUGCCAAUGCCUUCCAGAGCCAAGGGUUACUGUCCUCGAGAAACAUCGAGGAAAUGUCUGAAGCAACCAUGUGUGACCCGAAAGCCAAGGUCUGUACUUAUGGUGAGUGCAAUGAAUGCCUCCUAACUUGUCACCCCUGAUGCUGAAAACCCCUGGGGAAGAGAACAUUCGUUUAUCUCAGUGGAUGACAGAGAAGAUCAAGAAGGAUGAGAAGGUGUCAACAAUAACAGUGAAAAGGGAGAUAACAACAACAGAGCAUGACCUUAACACAGAUUUCCAGGAGAGGCUUCUCCAUUUUAGGAGACAUGUCUUCAACAUUAAAUGGCAGUUUGAUGCCUACAGGGAGCUCAGGAGGAUUCUGAAGCACAAUGAGUCCCUCAUCCAUAUCGAUUUUAGCGAAAAUUACUCAUGUAAGUACAGCAAAGAAAUCCAAUCCGUGCAUUUUUGAGGUUCACACAAGCAGGCCAGUCUGCACACUGGAGUGCUCUACACCACUGGUGAACAAGCGCCACACACCUUCUGUUCCAUAUCACCCUCCAGAAGAUAUGACCCUGUGGCCAUCUGAGCCCACAUUGAUCCAGUUCUGAAGGUAGUGAGAGAACGACACCCUCAAGUCAGCACACUUCAUUUUUUCAGCGAUGGGCCUGCAACGCAGUAUCGACAAAAGGGAAAUUUCUUCUACCUCUCAACGGAACCCUACGAGUAUGGCUUCAAAGAAAUAACGUGGAAUUUCUUUGAGGCUAGUCAUGGAGAGGGGGCACCAGACGGUGUGGGUGGGGCCCUCAAGAGGUCAGCAGACCGGAUUGUAGCCCAUGGAGGAGACAUUCCUGAUGCCCAGAGCUUGUAUAACAAGCUGAAAAGCCUGGACACAUCUGUCGAGCUGUUCUUCAUCCCAGAGAGGGAUAUAGAAUCAAAGCUGGAGGUACCUGCAAUAGCUGCCAUAAAAGGCACUAUGAGAAUCCACCAAGCUAUCAGUCUGACACCUGGCCAAAUGAAAUACAGAGACAUUUCAUGUCUGUGUAAAAGGGAGGAAGGUGUUUUGGACUGCCCCUGCUUUAACCUUCAAGAGAUCACUCUAGCUAAUGUUCCUGUAUCAUCUGACAAGUCCCCAGCAUGUGGAAAGACACUCUGAACAAGCGCUCUGUACAGAUUGAAGCGUCUGCAUGGAAGUAUGUGGAACAGCAACUGCAGAACUGAGCCAUGUUUCUGCAGAAAGGGAGAUGCGUCCAAGUUAUCUUUCUGUAAUAUUCUGUUUUUUUCAAAUCAACUGUUCUCUACUUAAAAACAUUUUUCUUCUUGUUCUACAGUUGAAUCUUUGACUUUCACUGUGCAGAAUGAUGUACAGAGUUUAACGCUGGAAGGCCACUUUAAUGUCUCAUUUUGGGCAUCUUUAUUUAGUGGCUGCAUGCAGGUUGAGUGGAUCAAAACCAGUCUGUUCAACUGGUAAUUUCCCCCUACAUGGGAAAAGGCAUUUUUUUUAAAUAAUGUUCUUGCAUUGUUCCUCGCAUUUAUGAGGCCAUUCAAUGACAUUUCACAACGUGUCCACCCUGUCAUGCCCAGGGUCCACCCUGUCAUGCCACUUUCCACCCUGUUAGUUUUAUGUUUUAGAGAAAUAAACAAACUAUUUUCACAAGUUAGCAACAUCUUUUGUGUGAUUCCUUUAUAAACAAAUGAGGG
ensembl:lncRNA